GGGAGCCGUCGAAGGUGGGACCGAUGAUUGGGGUGAAGUCGUAACAAGGUAGCCGUAUCGGAAGGUGCGGCUGGAUCACCUCCUUU
rnacentral:ncRNA from 1 species